rnacentral:lncRNA from 1 species
UUUGUGACUCUUUUUUUUUUUUCACAUUGUCAGGUGUCAAGUCUUGCUACUUAUACUUUUAGAAUAUCAUUUUAACCAUCCUCUUCUUUGCUUUCAGUAGAUCAGGGUGGGGACCUGAGAUUCUGCAUUUCUAAUAUGCUUCUGAAUCAAGCUGAUGGUGCUGCUGUAUUGACUGCACUUUGAUAAACAAGGCCCUCCUCUAGGCCGACAGUGGCCACCUGACCUAGUUCCCACUUCCCAGCCCAUGGCCAGAUCUGAGGCUCAAUUCUCUUUCAAAAAUAGAGAUCAAAUAUUGCCUAGUCUUGCUUGAAAAGAAAAAAGAUCUUUUCUGUGUCAUAGAAGAUUUGGAAAGUUACAGAGUCAGAAAAUAAAAAAUUCAAAUCAGCUACAUGGUCAUUAAUACUUUGAGAUAUAUUAAUAUAUAUGUAUUUCCUUUUAGUUGUUUCUAUAUUGUAAAUGUAUGUUCAGUUUAUAUCUGUGUUUUUCAAACCCUAAAAGGAUUGUUUACAGCUUUCUUUUGUUUCCCAGUGUAAAAAUUUGCUAAGUGUAUUGAAUCCCCUGACUUACAAAGUAGAAUCUGCCUUUUCUAUAUGACAAAAUGCUCCUUUGCUCAAUCUCCCUUACAGCUGGGAACUGAGGACUUGGUGCAGCCAAGCAGAUGCAUCCUCUAGGCUUUGAUUCAGGACCUGGUGACUCAAAGCAGCAGGGAUGACGCAGAAUCCGUUCUGGCCAGGGCACAGCAGUGAUGGCAGCUGCAUCCGGUUUCCAGUGGCAGCAGAGACAGCUGUUCUGGGGCAGUGUGCAGUGUCCGGCAUCUGAAGACUUGGCAGUGCAAGCCAUGGGAUGUGAUCAUUAUAUUGGAAAUCAUUGGUCAUUAUAUUGGAAGCAAGAUUCUCAGGAACUUUUAGUGACUUCCAGGAAAUACUAAUGCUAAAGUUACUAUAACAAGAUUCAGGAUCAUCAAAGGUAAAAAUGUUUUUAAAUAAACAUGAAAAGCAUUUCA